CGGGAAGAGCUCACAUUUAUAAUCUCGGCACCUUCGGUGUCCGAGUUGUAAUCUCUAGAAGUGUUUUCCGCGUUGGACCGCACACAAGUCUGUUGGAAUACAGCGGCAUAGUGGUGAGACCCCCGUAUAUGGUGCGGACGCCCAACGCUUUGUGAUACACUUUCGAAGAGUCGAGUUGUUUGGGAAUGCAGCUCAAAUUGGGUGGUAAAUUCCAUCUAAAGCUAAAUAUUGGCGAGAGACCGAUAGCGAACAAGUACCGUGAGGGAAAGAUGAAAAGCACUUUGGAAAGAGAGUUAACAGUACGUGAAAUUGUUGGAAGGGAAACGCUUGAAGUCAGACUUGCUUGCCGAGCAAUCGGUUUGCAGGCCAGCAUCAGUUUUCCGGGGUGGAUAAUGGUAGAGAGAAGGUAGCAGUUUCGGCUGUGUUAUAGCUCUUUGCUGGAUACACCUUGGGGGACUGAGGAACGCAGUGUGCCUUACGGCGGAUUUCUCGAGAUCUUCACACUUAGGAUGCUGGUGGAAUGGCUUUAAACGAC
rnacentral:rRNA from 1 species